rnacentral:rRNA from 1 species
UGUAAGCGUAUACCAAAGUUGUUGCAGUUAAAACGCUCGUAGUCGGAAUUUGGCAGUUCCGGAUGUGUGCACGUCGUGUGCGCACUUCGCGGGGAUUGCUUUUGUGGUCUUGCGUAGGAUGAGGCACUUUUAUUAGUGAACGUCCUCACGCAACCACUUUUUACUGUGAGAAAAUCAGAGUGCUCAAAGCAGGCAUUUGCCGUGAAUGUAUUAGCAUGGAAUAAUAGAAUAGGACUUGGUUCUAUUUUGUUGGUUUGUUGGGACUGAGUAAUGAUUAAGAGGGACAGUUGGGGGCAUUUGUAUGUCGGUGCUAGAGGUGAAAUUCUUAGAUUACCGAAAGACAAACUGCUGCGAAAGCGUCUGCCAAGGAUGUUUUCACUGA